rnacentral:misc_RNA from 1 species
GCAGCAUCCAGCCUUGUACUAUAAUAAGUAUAUCCUUCAACUUGAGAAGUGACUAUGUUUAAUCUUUGGUGUCAUACUCCUUUUUGCUGUAUAAAAUCUAACUUCGCACAGCUGCAGGCUGUUAGUAGGUUAUUGGUUUGAGGUUGCCGAGUUCUUAUUAACCAAAUCAGCACCACUCACGUAUCUAGCAAAAAAGGAUAUCAAACGGAAUGGAGCACCAAUUAAUGGUGCAUUGGUGAGGGGAACCUCCUCCUCAUACUGAUCCUGAUUCACACUUGUGACUUCUAAAUCUGCUGACUGAACUUCAUUUUCAUCUAAAGGAAUCUGCACGAUUUCAUCAGACUCGAUUUCUGAUGAAUUUACAACAAUUCUGCUAUCUAUCUUACACCCAUGCUCAUCAUCACUCACAGUUUUGUCAAUGGUGUCUUUCAGAGAUUGCAGCCUUUCACUUGACUGCAAUAGUGCUUCACUGGGUUGAGAUUUUGGCUCUGUAGUAUGAUCAACUUCAUGCUUGUGAACUGCUCCAGGCAUCUUGUGUGACCCAAGGGCUGAUUCAUUGGCAGUGCGAGCUGCCUCAGAGCUUGUGGUAAUUACAUCAGAACCUAAAUAUGAAGAUAUCUCCAUUGGUGGAUCUCUUCGUUCCAGCUCCACAUAUAAAUUUUUCACCUUCUCAACAAGCUCCGCAUUUUCAUCAAUCAGUUUGUCCACCAAUGCUUGGGUAGCAACUACUUCAGAAUUCAGAUCCCCAUUUUCAGGAGUAUUCAUUUCAUGUCCAGUUGGUAAACAAGGAGGUCCGGCACUCUUCUCGAGAUUAUAGACUUG